AUUUUAAAUAUAUGAUGUGUUUGGAAAAAGUGCCCGUUGUAUGUUUGUCCAUAUGAUAAAUGGUUUAUGAUACGUUUGAGUGAGAUCCGUUUUCUUAACUGAAUAUAUUUUCUUUUUUGUUUAAACAGCAAUACUGUGGGACCUUGUACAUGUAAGUGGCUGUAGUAAAAAAUACCAAACAUAUUUUCUGAUAUUUUUUAAAAUGAGAAAACAUAGUUUAUUGUACAACAUUGUUUUUUUCAGAUUUUUUUUUUUACCUAUGGGCACUUAUUUCUGCGACGAUAUUCCGAGGAUAUUAUUUUGAUUUGUUCCUUGGGCAUUUUUACAACCAGCGUCAAAACCUGCCAUUAUAGUUCUUACGCAGUUGUUUCUCUUUCGAAAAAAAGAAAAAUGAUGCAUAACGAUCCAUUUUCAUUAAAUUGAUUAUAUAUUUUUUACGUCUUUCAUAAACAAUCAAAACUGU
rnacentral:sRNA from 1 species